GACGAACGCUGGCGGCGUGCUUAACACAUGCAAGUCGAACGGUAAGGCCCUUCGGGGUACACGAGUGGCGAACGGGUGGGUAACACGUGGGUGAUCUGGUCUGCACUUCGGGAUAAGCCUGGGAAAAUGUGUCUAAUACCGGAAAGGUCUACUGCCUGUACGGGUGGUGGGGGAAACCUGUUGCGGUGUGGGAUGGGACCGCGGCCUAUUAGCUUGUUGGUGGGGUGAUGGCUUACCAAGGCGAGGACGGGUAGCCGGCCUGAGAGGGUGACCGGCCACACUGGGACUGAGAUACGGCCCAGACUCCUACGGGAGGCAGCAGUGGGGAAUAUUGCACAAUGGGCGCAAGCCUGAUGCAGCGACGCCGCGUGAGGGAUGACGGCCUUCGGGUUGUAAACCUCUUUCAGCACCGACGAAGCGCAAGUGACGGUAGGUGCAGAAGAAGGACCGGCCAACUACGUGCCAGCCGCCGCAGUAA
rnacentral:rRNA from 1 species